CACUCACUCCUCCUCUGCCUCCAGCGCCACCUCGUAUCGCCUCAAUCCCGACAUGUCCUGGUUGCCGAACGUCUCCUGGGGAGCGACAUGAUAGAAUCAGGGAUUCCCCAAUCCCAGAUCCCCCUGUCCGUCACUGUCAAGACGAGUCUGACUGUUUCUCAGGUUGUUCUGAAGUCCACAGAGACAGCAAUGCCACAUGCCGAAUAGCACUUGUGUGAGGCCUGCAGUGGUGAAUUACAUUGGAGCCCUGUGCUCCUGGAACACCUUAAGGGUGAAGCGUCCCCCUACUCCGUGUUCGAAAAAGGGCUCACUGCGAAGCAUGCCCAUGCCCCUAGGGCCUGGAUGAGACUCAGAGAUACCCACGACAGGGUCAGACUGCCCGUCCCCACUGAGCAAUCAGAGAACAAUGCUUGCUAGCCCACCCUUGGCUCGAUUUCUUGCCUUCUCCAGGCCUGGGCCCCUAGCGCUCAGCCCGGCCUCGGUCCAGCAGCUGGCUCCAUGGCCCAAUCCAUGCCUCCAAAGAGAGCCCUCCACCCCCGCGGACCCCGGGCAUGAAGCCUCCCUGACCCGACCCUUUCCGUGCAGAUGCCCGCAGCCCUGGAUACGCUCCCGGCCGGCCGUGGUGCAGGCCUGGACCCACCGCGCCCAGCCUGCCUGCCCGGUGGGCCUGGGGUAGCUGCGCCUGCUUGUGCUACUGUAAGGUGCGCGUGGGCCAGGGGAUCACUGAGCCAACAGGAGAUGUACCCUCCCGGGCCCAGGCCCUGCAUACUUGUUGGGCCUGCUCCGCCAGGCCUGCCCCACUGGCACUGCUUGAAGCUUUCAUUUGCUACGUCUAGAGAUUUCCGCCCUUCUGGUGUAUAAUAAAUAUUUUGAUUGGUC